GUUAGGAAUAUUGGACAAUGGGCGCAAGCCUGAUCCAGCCAUGCCGCGUGAACGAUGAAGGCCUUCGGGUUGUAAAGUUCUUUAGCCGAUGAUUAUAAUGACUGUAGUCGGAAAAUAAGCCCCGACUAACUUCGUGCCAGCAGCCGCGGUAAUACGAAGGGGGCGAGCGUUAUUCGGAAUCACUGGGCGUAAAGCGUGCGUAGGCGGUUUUGUAAGUUAGGAGUGAAAGCCCAGGGCUCAACCUUGGAAUUGCUCUUAAAACUGCAAGGCUCGAAUCUCGGAGAGGAUAGCGGAAUUUCCAGUGUAGCAGUGAAAUGCGUAGAUAUUGGAAGGAACACCAGUGGCGUAAGCGGCUAUCUGGACGAGUAUUGACGCUGAGGCACGAAAGCGUGGGGAUCAAACAGGAUUAGAUACCCGAGUAGUCC
rnacentral:rRNA from 1 species